AGUCCUAAAUAAUAUGAUACGAUAAUUUGGCAACCAAAAAACCCAUCCCCAUGUUGAUAAUUCAUAGCGUGUCGUUAAAAUUUACCCAAAAACACGACAAAAUACUCGGCGUGUAAAAUACACGGUAUUUCACGUUUAGCGUGAGCUGGAAAACCCGGGAAAUGUCAUUAUCAUUUCCGUCCGGGUGCGAAUAAGAAAAACGAUCGCCACGAGAGCGAAGUGUAGCGAGGUAGUGUUUCACACAGGAAAAUCGGAGGAAAAUCGGAGGAAACCCGCAAACGACAGCUCCUCAGCACUGAAAGGAAAAGCUCCGACAAGGCGCAUACCAGCCACGCGGCACGUGCUCGCGGAAGAAGCGUAGAGGGCAGAGCCCCACUGGAAGGUGCACACACGCCCACCUAAAAGGGUAAAUUCGAGCUCAAGACUGCGGAAAAGAAAAAGAAGAACAAGAGGGUCGCUCAGGCGGCCUUCUUUUAUCCACCAUCAAGCACCUUCGAGGUUUCCAUCGAUUCCUGCAACUUUUGCCGGAGGAAAGGUGGCAUUUAGCCAUUCAGCAUCUCCGGAACUCUCGGCUAUAACUGCCAGCCUCGCCUCGGCCACAACGUGCCCGCGCUGGCAACUUCAAAGGUGGCAAUUAGCCAUUUAACAUCACCGGGAGUCUCGGCUACAACUGCCUGCCUUCUCUCGGCUAGAACGCACCCGCGGUGCAACAUCAAAGGUGGCGUUGAGCCACACAGCAUCCUCGUAGAGACACUUUGUUUCUAAGGCUCCCGUAGGCGUAGCAUCUAUUGUGGAAAUUAGCCAUUCGACUUCACCGACAGUCUCAACUGCACCUUUCGGCUGCACCUGCAGCGGUGCAAUCAACUGUGGCAUCUGACCACUUAUUGUCAUCUGCAGCUUCAACUGCACUUUACGGCUGCACCGGCGGUCGUGGAAUCAACUGUGGCCUUUGGCCAUCCACUAACAUCGGCAGUCUCGGCUCUACUCAUCGACUGCAUCUGCGGUCGUCGCAUCAACGGUACCAUUUGGCCACUCAUCUUUGGCAGUUUCAAUUGCACUUUUCGACUGCAUCCGCGGUCGUUACAUCAACUGUGGCAUCGGGCCACCUAUCAUCAUUGGCAGCUUCGACUGCACUUCUCGGCUGCACCUGCAGUGGUGCAAUCAACGGUGGCAUUUGGCCACUUACCAUCAUCGGAAGUUGCGACCGCACUUUUCAACUACACCCGCUAUCGUCGAAUCGACUGUGGCAUUGGGCCAUUCAUCAUCAACGGCACUACUCGGCUACAUCGCGGUCGUCGCAACAACGGAACACAUCGGUAAAUUCAUUUGGGGCAUGAUGCCGGAGGCGGCGAGAGGAGGUUUGCCCACACCAAGGCGGAAGAGGAAAAGCUUCGUGGCCACUCAGUGCGCUGCAGCGCCUUCAUGGAGAAUGCCGUAAGUUAAAUAGAAUCUGAAUGAAAAUGCUAUGGGGGAAAUGUGGGUAAAAUGUUGCAAGAUCUAUAAAGAAACUCAAAUUUAAAGUUAUCGAGCGUUAUUAAUUUCGUAGCUUCGUCUACGGUAAGCAAUCCGUCACAAAUGGCGCCCAACAAAACGAACCUGUUCAUUUAAUUAAUGUUCGUUGAAGUUAAUGUUAGUAAUCACAAGUAUCAUUAUUUUUUGUGAAUACUUCAUGAUUAUUAUGAUUAUUAUUGUUGAUUAAUAAUCAUUAUUAUUAUCGCUC